rnacentral:rRNA from 1 species
UACGAAGGGGGCUAGCGUUGCUCGGAAUCACUGGGCGUAAAGCGCACGUAGGCGGCUUUCUAAGUCAGGGGUGAAAUCCCAGAGCUCAACUCUGGAACUGCCUUUGAUACUGGGUAUCUCGAGUAUGGAAGAGGUGAGUGGAAUUCCGAGUGUAGAGGUGAAAUUCGUAGAUAUUCGGAGGAACACCAGUGGCGAAGGCGGCUCACUGGUCCAUUACUGACGCUGAGGUGCGAAAGCGUGGGGAGCAAACAGG